AUACGAAGGGGGCUAGCGUUGUUCGGAAUUACUGGGCGUAAAGCGCGCGUAGGCGGACUGAUCAGUUGGGGGUGAAAUCCCAGGGCUUAACCCUGGAACUGCCUCCAAUACUGUCAGUCUUGAGUUCGGGAGAGGUGAGUGGAAUUCCUAGUGUAGAGGUGAAAUUCGUAGAUAUUAGGAAGAACACCAGUGGCGAAGGCGGCUCACUGGCCCGAUACUGACGCUGAGGCGCGAAAGCGUGGGGAGCAAACAGAAUUAGAAACCCUUGUAGUCC
rnacentral:rRNA from 1 species